rnacentral:rRNA from 1 species
AAACCAACAGGGAUUGCCCCAGUAACGGCGAGUGAAGCGGCAACAGCUCAGAUUUGAAAUCCGGCCUCGGCCCGAGUUGUAAUCUGUAGGGGAUGUCCCUGGCGCGGCGCCUACCGAGUUCCCUGGAACGGGACGCCAUAGAGGGUGAGAGCCCCGUAUGGUUGGACGCCAAGCCUCUGUGGGACUCCUCCGACGAGUCGAGUAGUUUGGGAAUGCUGCUCAAAUUGGGAGGUAAAUCUCUUCUAAAGCUAAAUACCGGCCAGAGACCGAUAGCGCACAAGUAGAGUGAUCGAAAGAUGAAAAGCACCUUGGAAAGGGGGUUAAACAGCACGUGAAAUUGUUGAAAGGGAAGCGCCUGUGACCAGACUCGCGCCGGGCGGAUCAUCCAGCGUUCUCGCUGGUGCACUCCGCCCGGUACGGGCCAGCAUCGGUUUCCGCGGGGGGACAAGAGCGGCGGGAACGUGGCCCUUCGGGGUGUUAUAGCCCGCCGCACGAUGCCCUCUUGGGGACCGAGGAUCGCGCUCUGCAAGGAUGCUGGCGUAAUGGUCACCGGCGAC